rnacentral:rRNA from 1 species
CCCUUAGAUGUUCUGGGCCGCACGCGCGCUACACUGUUUGAUUCAGCGAGUCUUAACCUUGACCGAAAGGUUUGGGUAAUCUUCUAAAGUCAAACGUGAUGGGGGUCGAUCAUUGCAAUUAUUGAUCGUGAACGAGGAAUUCCUAGUAAAUGCAAGUCAUCAGCUUGCGUUGAUUACGUCCCUGCCCUUUGUACACACCGCCCGUCGCUACUACCGAUUGAAUGGUUUAGUGAGAUCUCCGGAUUGGCUCUGUAGGUCCCGCAAGGGAUUUAUUAGUAGCCAAGAAGCUGCUCAAACUUGAUCAUUUAGAGGAAGUAAAAGUCGUAACA